rnacentral:piRNA from 1 species
CAUUACUUGGGGGUCAGUUGUGCUU